CUUGUCGGGUCACACUGCACUUUAGCUCUGAAAGUCCGGCCACCACACCUUGAAUUCCUACUCUCAUUUGGCUAAUGUAAAUAAUUGAUCAGGGAUAGAAAAGUUCUGAAGAAGAGCCUCCCCCUCUUGUACCCUCCUGUGGGGAAGAGUCUGGCUGCUGUCCGUCUCCCGGUGACCAGAGGAGGAAGAACCACCUAUUUUCAGAGCUACAACACAGGCUCACCGGCGACACUCACGAUUCUAAAGGUGGCUUCCUGGCCUGGGUGAACCCAACUUGGAAACAGAUGAGGAAAUAGGUUCAUAAGAACAAGAUCGGGGCGCCUGGGGGGCCCAGUCGGUUGAGCGUCCAACUUGGGCUUCAGGUCCUGAUCUCGCGGUCCAACAAGAUCAUCUGCUCAAGCGUGACGUCACCAGGAGUUGCCCGGCAUUGAGAUAGAGAACCGACAUCCUGACUCCAAAUCCGCCUCUGUUUCCCUCCAAAGACUCCACUCCAUUUCCCUGAGAUGUCUUCACUGAAACCCCUCCCUGCACACUUCGGAGAAUCCUCCAAACAACCUGUGUUCCACGAUGCUCAGAGGUUGGUUUCCCCGCGGGUGCACAUCCCACCCGCGGCCACGAGAUGGCAGGGUCGCCCCGACCACCGAGGGCUCCAUUCCUCGCGCCAGUAGGGGGCUGUCGUUCCUCGCUUCACAACGUGAGAAACGAAAACAAAAAAAGAAAAACAAAACAAAACAAUAAAACUUCAGUGUCCACGUUGAUGAAAUGAGGUGGUGGGAGGUUUGUUUUUCCUUUUCUUUCUUUUCUUUUUCUCUUUUAAGUCAGGCAGGGAGAGUUCAAACAAACAAGUCUCUCCAUUUUCA